rnacentral:rRNA from 1 species
GUGGGGAAUAUUGGACAAUGGGCGAAAGCCUGAUCCAGCCAUGCCGCGUGUGUGAAGAAGGUCUUCGGAUUGUAAAGCACUUUAAGUUGGGAGGAAGGGUAGUAACCUAAUACGUUGCUACUUUGACGUUACCGACAGAAUAAGCACCGGCUAACUUCGUGCCAGCAGCCGCGGUAAUACGAAGGGUGCAAGCGUUAAUCGGAAUUACUGGGCGUAAAGCGCGCGUAGGUGGUUCAGUAAGUUGGAAGUGAAAUCCCCGGGCUCAACCUGGGAACUGCUUUCAAAACUGCUGAGCUAGAGUACGGUAGAGGGUGGUGGAAUUUCCUGUGUAGCGGUGAAAUGCGUAGAUAUAGGAAGGAACACCAAAGGCGAAGGCGACUACCUGGACUGAUACUGACACUGAGGUGCGAAAGCGUGGGGAGCAAACAGGAUUAGAUACCCGAGUAGUCC